UCAAAAGAAUCUUCAGUGAAUUUCUAGCAAUGAGCUUUAUCUAUUGGUGCCUCCUGAAUUUGUGACUAUUAAUUCUGAAUUUCAUCAAGUGUUCGGUGAACAUGUGUGUUGGGAAUUAGUCUUUGGAACAGUUGAGUGAGGUCGGACUCUGCCUGGCAUUCUGAUAUUGAUAUGGAACUCAAGAGUAUUAUAUUGUAACUACGAAAAUUUCAAUUUAUGGAGAGCAAGUCUUAGUGCCACUGUGUAUGUCUGCUCCAUAUCGGUCAAGAACGAGUAAUUCGAGGUUGGAGAACACCAAGUUAGCCAUUGAAGCUUUCCAAAUCAGUGACUGAGUCGAUCUACCUCGCCCAUUUCUGGUCAUGGAAGCCUCUCGAUCUGCUC